CGUAGGGGGCAAGCGUUGUUCGGAAUUACUGGGCGUAAAGGGCGCGUAGGCGGCACGGCAAGUCGGGAGUGAAAGGCCUGGGCUCAACCGAGGAAUGGCUUUCGAGACUGCCGAGCUAGAGUGCGGAAGGGGCAACUGGAAUUCCCAGUGUAGCGGUGAAAUGCGUAGAUAUUGGGAAGAACACCGGAGGCGAAGGCGGGUUGCUGGGCCGACACUGACGCUGAUGCGCGAAAGCCAGGGGAGCAAACGGGAUUAGAUACCCCGGUAGUCCUGGCCCUAAACGAUGGAUACUUGGUGUGUGGGGUUCUUCGAGUCCCCGCGUGCCGGAGCUAACGCGGUAAGUAUCCCGCCUGGGGAGUACGGUCGCAAGGCUG
rnacentral:rRNA from 1 species